UAAGGUAAUGAUGAUGGGUAGUCUGGCUGUCACCAAACCAAGCUCAAUAGAUUUUAGAUUGAGCGUUGAUCUGGGGAGUCCGCUCUGUUUUUUCUCUGCACAAGAGGCGGGACCGACGG